rnacentral:rRNA from 1 species
AGUGGAUGGGGAGCAACCUAGUUGUGCGUGUGUAAAGGUAGUGCCAAGAAAAGCGGUGAUCAUGAUGAAAAUCAAUUCCCGGUACCCGAAACCGACACAGGUGGGCAAGUAGAGAACACUAAGGGGCGCGAGGUAACUCUCUCCAAGGAACUCGGCAAAAUGACCCCGUAACUUAGGGAGAAGGGGUGCCACCGAGAGGUGGUCGCAGUGAAGAGGCCCAGGCGACUGUUUAGCAAAAACAUAGGUCUCUGCAAACUCGAAAGAGGAGGUAUAGGGGCUGACGCCUGCCCAGUGCCGGAAGGUUAAAGAAGUUGGUCAGUCUUAGGAUAAAGCUAGCGACUGAAGCCCCGGUGAACGGCGGCCGUAACUAUAACGGUCCUAAGGUAGCGAAAUUCCUUGUCGGGUAAGUUCCGACCCGCACGAAAGGCGUAACGAUCUGGGCGCUGUCUCGGAGAGAGGCUCGGCGAAAUAGGAUUGUCUGUGAAGAUACGGACUACCUGCAUUUGGACAGAAAGACCCUAUGAAGCUUUACUAUAGCUUGGAAUUGUGUUCGGGCUUCCUGUGCGCAGGAUAGGUGGGAGGCGAAGAAGGUAUUCUUGUGGGGAUACUGGAGCCAACGGUGAGAUACCACUCUCAGGAGGCUAGAAUUCUAACUUAAUUAAGGACAGUUUCAGGUGGGUAGUUUGACUGGGGCGGUCGCCUCCAAAAAGGUAACGGAGGCGUACAAAGGUUCCCUCAGACUGGUUGGAAAUCAGUCGCAGAGUGCAAAGGCAGAAGGGAGCUUGACUGCGAGAAGUACAGUUCGAGCAGGGUGGAAACACGGUCUUAGUGAUCCGACGGUGCUGUGUGGAAGGGCCGUCGCUCAACGGAUAAAAGUUACUCUAGGAUAACAGGCUGAUCUCCCCCAAGAGUUCACAUCGACGGGGAGGUUUGGCACCUCGAUGUCGGCUCAUCGCAACCUGGGGCGGAAGUACGUCCCAAGGGUUGGGCUGUUCGCCCAUUAAAGCGGUACGUGAGCUGGGUUCAGAACGUCGUGAGACAGUUCGGUCCAUAUCCGAUGUAGGCGUGAGAAUAUUGAGAGGAGCCUUCCUUAGUACGAGAGGACCGGGAAGGACGCACCGCUGGUGUACCUGUUAUGAUGCCAAUUGUAAACGCAGGGUAGCCAAGUGCGGAGAGGAUAACCGCUGAAAGCAUCUAAGUGGGAAGCCCACCUCAAGAUGAGUAUUCUGGUGUAAGGUCACGGGAAGACGACCCGUAAAUAGGCACGAGGUGGAAGUGCAGAGAUGUAUGAAGCCGAAGUGUACUAAUAGACCGUCGGCUUGACC